UACGGGGGGGGUAAGCGUUGUUCGGAAUUACUGGGCGUAAAGGGCUCGUAGGCGGCCAACUAAGUCAUACGUGAAAUCCCUCAGCUUAACUGGGGAACUGCGUGUGAUACUGGAUGGCUUGGAUUUGGGAGAGGGAUGCGGAAUUCCAGGUGUAGCGGUGAAAUGCGUAGAUAUCUGGAGGAACACCGGUGGCGAAGGCGGCAUCCUGGACCGACACUGACGCUGAGGAGCGAAAGCCAGGGGAGCAAACGGG
rnacentral:rRNA from 1 species